rnacentral:rRNA from 1 species
CGCGUAGGCGGCUCGCGAGGUCGGGGGGUGAAAUCCUACGGCUUAACCGUAGAAGUGCCUUCGAUACCGGCGGGCUGGAGGAAGGUAGGGGUGCGCGGAACUUCUGGUGGAGCGGUGAAAUGCGUUGAUAUCAGAAGGAACGCCGGCGGCGAAAGCGGCGCACUGGACCUUUUCUGACGCUGAGGCGCGAAAGCCAGGGGGAGCAAACGGGAUUAGAUACCCCGGUACGUCCUGGCCCUAAACGAUGGGUACUAGGUCGUGGACCAGUCAUGGGUUCACAACCGAAGCAAAAGUGUUAAGUACCCCGCCUGGGGAGUAUGGUCGCAAGGCUGAA